CAGUAGCCGCGGUAAUACGUAGGUCCCGAGCGUUGUCCGGAUUUAUUGGGCGUAAAGGGAGCGCAGGCGGUUUAGUAAGUCUGAAGUUAAAGGCAUUGGCUCAACCAAUGUAUGCUUUGGAAACUGUUAGACUUGAGUGCAGAAGGGGAGAGUGGAAUUUCAUGUGUAGCGGUGAAAUGCGUAGAUAUAUGGAGGAACACCGGUGGCGAAAGCGGCUCUCUGGUCUGUCACUGACGCUGAGGCUCGAAAGCGUGGGUAGCGAACAGGAUUAGAUACCCGCGUAGUCCCUGUCUCUUAUACA
rnacentral:rRNA from 1 species